rnacentral:ribozyme from 1 species
GAAGAAAAGAGAGAAGGAAAUAAAAAAACCCGAAGGCAAGUAUAAGAACGUAUAAAGAUACGAAAUGCCCUCCCUCCUUUUUUUUGUUUUUGAUGUCUGUUGCCACUUGCAUGUUUCUUAUAUUAUAAAAUUUCAU